rnacentral:rRNA from 1 species
AUGCAACCCGCCGCCACCUUCUCGUCCUUCUCCGCGUUGAUGCGCCGGCCUCCGCCGCCGGCCCGGCGCCUCCUCGUCGUCGCCGCCGCACGCGCGCACAGCACCGCCGGGGCAAGCCGUGCUCGCGGCGGCCUGCGGCGGUUCCACUCCCCGUCUCUCCCCUCGUCCAAGGGUGAGGUGGUUCGCAUCCAAGGUGACGAGUUCUGGCACAUGACACGGGUGUUGCGCCUUGGCGUCAAUGACAGGGUCGAACUAUUUGAUGGGGCCGGUGGCUUAGUUGAAGGAUCCAUACAAAAGGUUGACAAGAAUGGAUCAGAUGUUGAGUUAUUAGAGAAUGCGAGGCUCAUUGCUCCUCAAGGCAUUCAAUGGCAUGUCUUUGCUGCAUUUGGGACGCUGAAAGGUGGACGUGCAGAUUGGCUUAUAGAGAAAUGUACUGAACUUGGCGCUUCCAGUGUUACGCCUCUUUUGACUGAACGAUGCCAUACGAUAGCGGAAAAUAGAGUGGACAGGUUGCAACGGCUGGUGCUAGCUGCAGUUAAACAAUGCCAGAGAGUGCAUGAUAUGUCACUGAAGCCCCCACUUGAGAUACAUGAUCUUCCGCUGGCUGUGUCGCAAUCGAAGCUUGCUUUCUUAGCAUCUGCUGAAGCGCCUCCUGUUUUGAGCGUUUUGCCAAAGUGCAGCAGCGAGGAGGAAAGUGGGCUUUUAAUCAUUGGACCAGAAGGAGACUUUACGGAGGAGGAGGUGGGGGUUUUGAAGGCGGCUGGUGCGGUUCCCGUUGGUCUUGGUCCAUGCAGGCUACGCGUGGAGACAGCUACGAUAUCACUCCUUUCUGCGCUCAUGCUGUGGUCAGACUCUGCUCAUCACCAAGAAGCACAGCAGCAACGCGGAUAG